rnacentral:rRNA from 1 species
AGGGCGCAUGGCGGAUGCCUUGGCUCUCGGAGGCGAUGAAGGACGUGAUAAGCUGCGAUAAGCUCCGGGGAGGUGCAAAUAACCUUUGAUCCGGGGAUUUCCGAAUGGGACAACCCGGCGUGUUGAAGACACGCCACCUGAUCAUUUCAGGAGCUAACGCAGGGAACUGAAACAUCUUAGUACCUGCAGGAAAAGAAAAUAACAAUGAUUCCCCCAGUAGUGGCGAGCGAACGGGGAAUAGCCCAAACCGUUCAUGUUACGGCAUGAUCGGGGUUGUAGGACUACGUCGUUGCAUGAAGACAUCGGAGAAGAACUUUCUGGAAAGAAAGACCAUAGAGCAUGACAGUUGCGUAUUCGAAUGUUGUCGAAGCAUAGUAGUAUCCUGAGUAGCGCGGAGCACGAGGAAUUCUGCGUGAAUCUGCCGGGACCAUCCGGUAAGGCUAAAUACUCCCGAGAGACCGAUAGCGAACCAGUACUGUGAAGGAAAGGUGAAAAGCACUUCGAAUAGAAGAGUGAAAUAGUCCCUGAAACCGUGCGCCUACAAGCGGUCGGAGCAGCGUAAGCUGUGACGGCGUGCCUUUUGCAUAAUGAACCUACGAGUUACUUUUUCCGGCAAGGUUAAGCAUUUCAAAAUGUGUAGCCGAAGCGAAAGCGAGUCUGAACAGGGCGAUUAGUCGGAAGGAGUAGACGCGAAACCAAGUGAUCUACCCUUGGUCAGGUUGAAGGUUAGGUAACACUAACUGGAGGACCGAACCGAUAAGCGUUGAAAAGCUUCCGGAUGAACUGAGGGUGGGGGUGAAAGGCUAAUCAAACUUGGAGAUAGCUCGUACUCCCCGAAAUGCAUUUAGGUGCAGCCUCGCGGGUUACUGAUGUGAGGUAGAGCGACUGAUUGGAUGCGAGGGCUUCACCGCCUAUCAAGUCCUGACAAACUCCGAAUGCGCAUCAGUUUUACCGCGGGAGUGAGGGCAUGGGUGCUAAGGUCCGUGCCCGAGAGGAGAAGAAUCCGGACUAUCAGCUAAGGCCCCGAAAUGACAGCUAAGUUAAACUAACGAAGUCUGAUUGCUAAGACAGCUAGGAUGUUGGCUUGGAAGCAGCCAUUCAUUUAAAGAGUGCGUAACAGCUCACUAGUCGAGGAAUCGGGCGUGGAUAAUAAUCGGGUAUGAAGUUGUCUGCCGAAGCUAUAGAAUCAGCAAUGAUUGGUAGGGGAGCAUUCCAUUCGGCGUUGAAGGCGUGGCGUGAGCCAUUCUGGAGCGUAUGGAAAAGCAAAUGUAGGUAUAAGUAACGAUAAAGGGGGUGGGAAACCCCCUCGCCGAAAGACUAAGGUUUCCUGAUCAACGCUAAUCGGAUCAGGGUAAGUCGGGUCCUAAGGUUCAGCCGAACGGCGAGACCGAUGGCAGAAACGGUUAAUAUUCCGUUACUACCUUUGAGGGUGACGUGGGGACGCAGGAGUGACACCGCCGCCGGCUGACGGAAUAGCCGGUUAAAGAGUGUAGACGCCGAUUUCCGCAGGCAAAUCCACGGAAAGAGUCGAACUUGACAGUAUGGAACGUCCUUCGGGACAAUCCAAUAGUGCGGGUAAGCAGACUGCCGAGAAAAUCCGCUAAACAUAACUUCAGAGGUACCCGUACCGCAAACGGACACACGUAGUCGGGUUGAAUAUACUAAGGCGCUUGAGUGAUUCACGGUUAAGGAACUAGGCAAACUGACCCUGUAACUUCGGGAUAAAGGGUCCCUACCCAGAAAUGGGAGGGCGCAGAGAAUAGGUCCAGGCAACUGUUUAACAAAAACACAGGGCUGUGCAAAAUUUCAAGAUGAAGUAUACAGCCUGACACCUGCCCGGUGCCGGAAGGUUAAGAGGAGAGCUAAUCGCAAGAGAAGGCUUGAAUUGAAGCCCCGGUAAACGGCGGCCGUAACUAUAACGGUCCUAAGGUAGCGAAAUUCCUUGUCGGGUAAGUUCCGACCUGCACGAAUGGUGUAAUGAUCUGGACACUGUCUCAACCGUGAGCUCGGUGAAAUUGUAGUAUCGGUGAAGAUGCCGAUUACCCGCGAUGGGACGAAAAGACCCCGUGAACCUUUACUAUAGCUUAACAUUGAAUUUGGGUAAUUGAUGUGUAGGAUAGGCCGGAGGCUUUGAAGCGGGCACGCCAGUGUUCGUGGAGCCGCUGUUGAAAUACGGCCCUUUGAUUAUUUGAGUUCUAACCCGCUGUUGCGGGGACACUGUUUGGUGGGUAGUUUGACUGGGGUGGUCGCCUCCAAAAGCGUAACGGAGGCUUCUAAAGGUGCCCUCAGACCGAUUGGUAACCGGUCGCAGAGUGUAAUGGCAUAAGGGCGCUUGACUGGGAGAGAUACAACUCGAUCAGGUAGGAAACUAGAGCAUAGUGAUCCGGUGGUUCCGCAUGGAAGGGCCAUCGCUCAAAGGAUAAAAGGUACUCCGGGGAUAACAGGCUGAUCCCUCCCAAGA